rnacentral:rRNA from 1 species
GAUCCUGGCUCAGAUUGAACGCUGGCGGCAUGCCUAACACACGCAAGUCGAACGGUAACAGGCAGAGCUUGCUCUGUGCUGACGAGUGGCGGACGGGUGCGUAACACGUAGGAAUCUGCCUAGUAGUUGGGGAUAGCCCGGAGAAAUCCGGAUUAAUACCGAAUACGAUCAACGGAUGAAAGGGGGCCUCUUCUUGAAAGCUCUCGCUAUUAGAUGAGCCUGCGUCGGAUUAGCUAGUUGGUGGGGUAAUGGCCUACCAAGGCAACGAUCCGUAGCUGGUCUGAGAGGACGAUCAGCCACACUGGGACUGAGACACGGCCCAGACUCCUACGGGAGGCAGCAGUGGGGAAUAUUGGACAAUGGGCGAAAGCCUGAUCCAGCAAUGCCGCGUGUGUGAAGAAGGCCUGCGGGUUGUAAAGCACUUUCAAUUGUGAAGAAAUGCUUAAGGUUAAUAACCUUGAGUCUUGACGUUAACUUUAGAAGAAGCACCGGCUAACCCUGUGCCAGCAGCCGCGGUAAUACAGGGGGGUGCGAGCGUUAAUCGGAAUUACUGGGCGUAAAGAGUACGUAGGCGGUUACUUAUGUCAGAUGUGAAAGCCC